ACUGAAUGCCUGAUGGCAUCCUUAGUCCAACCAUUGCCCUUACUGAGGUCCCAAAAGCUUCAAUUAUAAAAAUAAAAAAUAUAAGGGGCAAAAAAGAAGUUUGUAGGGUAGGAAAUUUAAGUAUCUAGUUUCUAGGUCUGGACCCAGAGUGAUAUCACAUAUCCUUUCACCAAACAAUCUGAUGUAAUCCUUUAUCUUGUUGUGCCACAUCAGUGGUCACUCUAGAACAGGGGUCUGCAACCUGCGGCUCCGGAGCCGCAUGCGGCUCUUUCAGCCUUAUACUGCGACUCCGUGUGGCCUG